AGAUGACUCUCGGCAACGGAUAUCUUGGUCCACGCAUCGAUGAAGAACGUAGCGAAAUGCGAUACUUGGUGUGAAUUGCAGAAUCCCGUGAACCAUCGAGUUUUUGAACGCAAGUUGCGCCCUAAGCUUCCGGGCCGAGGGCAAGCCUGCGUGGGCGUCAAGU
rnacentral:rRNA from 1 species